rnacentral:rRNA from 1 species
GGCGAACGGCGGAGUAAUGCAUAAGCAACGUGCCCCAAAGACUGGGAUAGUCGCGGGAAACUGCGGGUAAUACCAGAUGUGGCCCUCAGAUGGCAUCAUCAGAGGAUUAAACCGGGCAACCGGCUUUGGGAGCGGCUUAUGUCCUAUCAGCUUGUUGGUGAGGUAACGGCUUACCAAGGCUACGACGGGUAGGGGGUCUGAGAGGAUGAUCCCCCCGAGUGGGACUGCGACACGGCCCACACACCUACGGGUGGCAGCAGUUUGGAAUAUUGCACAAUGGAGGAAACUCUGAUGCAGCGACGCCGCGUGGAGGACGAAGGAUCUAGGUCUGUAAACUCCUUUUGCUGGGAAAGACUUAGGACGGUACCCAGCGAAUAAGCCCCGGCUAACUACGUGCCAGCAGCCGCGGUAAGACGUAGGGGGCGAGCGUUGUCCGGAUUUACUGGGCGUAAAGGGCGCGUAGGCGGCUCGUUAAGUGUGAAGUGAAAUCUCCAGGGCUCAACCCGGAAACUGCUUUACAUACUGGCGAGCUUGAGGAACGCAGAGGUAACUGGAAUUCC